GAAAUGCGAUAAGUAAUAUGAAUUGCAGAUUUUCGUGAAUCAUCGAAUCUUUGAACGCACAUUGCACUUUCUGGUAUUCCAGAAAGUAUGCUUGUUUGAGCGUCAUUUCUCUCUCUAAUUUAAUUAGGUUGUGAGCGAUAACACGUUUUGCUUGAAAUUUAUUCAUGGUUAUAUCUAGGUUCACCCAAUUUAUCACCAUCUCUAAAUUUUGACCUCAAAUCAAGUAGGAUUACCCGCUGAACUUAA
rnacentral:misc_RNA from 1 species